UCUAAAGGCCAUACCUCCCCGAAAGCAAUCGAUGUUGUCUGAGCUCAGAUGCUAAGCACGCUUGGGCCUGGUUAGUAAUGAGAUGGGAGGAAAAGGUAAGAGUGUAUAGCA
rnacentral:rRNA from 1 species